AGUGAACGCUGGCGGUAGGCCUAACACAUGCAAGUCGAGCGGCAGCACAGUAAGAGCUUGCUCUUACGGGUGGCGAGUGGCGGACGGGUGAGGAAUACAUCGGAAUCUACUUUUUCGUGGGUGAUAACGUAGGGAAACUUACGCUAAUACCGCAUACGACCUACGGGUGAAAGCAGGGGAUCUUCGGACCUUGCGCGAUUGAAUGAGCCGAUGUCGGAUUAGCUAGUUGGCGGGGUAAAGGCCCACCAAGGCGACGAUCCGUAGCUGGUCUGAGAGGAUGAUCAGCCACACUGGAACUGAGACACGGUCCAGACUCCUACGGGAGGCAGCAGUGGGGAAUAUUGGACAAUGGGCGCAAGCCUGAUCCAGCCAUACCGCGUGGGUGAAGAAGGCCUUCGGGUUGUAAAGCCCUUUUGUUGGGAAAGAAAAGCAGCAGGUUAAUACCCCGCUGUUCUGACGGUACCAAAAGAAUAAGCACCGGCUAACUUCGUG
rnacentral:rRNA from 1 species